GACGUAGGAGGCGAGCGUUGUCCGGAUUCAUUGGGCGUAAAGAGCGCGCAGGCGGCUUGGUAAGUCGGAUGUGAAAACUCGAGGCUCAACCUCGGGCGUGCAUCCGAAACUGCUCGGCUAGAGGUAGGUAGGGGAGAUCGGAAUUCCUGGUGUAGCGGUGAAAUGCGCAGAUAUCAGGAGGAACACCGGUGGCGAAGGCGGAUCUCUGGGCCGUACCUGACGCUCAGGCGCGAAAGCUAGGGGAGCGAACUGG
rnacentral:rRNA from 1 species